CCGACAGCCCAAAACGUCAUCCUCCGUUGUGUUUGGCAGGUUAGUCUCUUAAACUCUCCGAUUUUCUUACUCUGUGAAUUGAUGAAUUCAUCUCUGUGAGCCUCCUCUUCUGUUCGUUUGUUCUUCAGUUCAAUUGAUGAAUUGAUGAAUUCAUAUCUCUGUUUGUUUAGUAAUAUAUGUGUUUGAUUUGUGGAGAAAUGUUGUGAAUUGUUUAGAAAGUGUGCAUGAAUGCCCUUAAUUGAUAGUUUGUCGACGGAGAUCAUAUAUGAACUUGGUUUUCGAUUUGGUAAAUUAUAAGAGAUUAGAAGUUAGUGGAAGUGUUAAUGUGGAAGGAUAUGCAAGCAGGGGCGGAGCCAGCCCAGUCUUGACUGGCUGGAGCCUAGAAAAAAAAUACCACAUCCCAUGUGUAGCUACUAUGUGUUUAGUUCUUUGAUUUAAUUAAGGUUGAUCUAGCUGUGUUUAGUACUUUGAUUUUCUCAUGGGCUACUGUGUGUUUGUGAUUUGUGUUUAAAUAGUACAAAAUUGUGUGUUUAAAUAGUACUUUGAUUUUCUCAUGGGCUAUUGUGUGUUUCCUCAUAGAAAUAUAUAUAUAUUGCAAGUGUGAUGCUAUAGCAGCUGUCGAGUUUCAUUGACUUUUUUUCGAGUGUGAAACUGAAUUUGCUUUUAGUUACAAAGUAGUGUCUUUUGUGUUGGUGACCUUGUGAUCAAUGUGCAUUUAGCUGGUUAUGUUUGUGUCAUUAUGCUGCCGGUUGAUUUUGUUUUGUGGCUCUGAUUUUAGAAAAUGUAGAGAAUGGAAUUAUUGACUGGCAGAAAGUGUAUAGAUAGGUAAAGACAUAGGAAUGGGAUAUAUCAUGUAGGUACAACUUGUUAAUAUAGGAUAGAUUUUUACAUGAAUUGAGGUAUGUAAGAAUAUAUACCCAUCACAUGUUUAAUUAACUUGUUAUGUUUAAAGAUGCCGAUCAUUGGGAAGAGGAAGCAACGUUCGGAGAGGGCUCAACAGAUGAUGGAGGCCUUAUGUAACCAGGCUACUACUAGCCAGCCCACACCUUUGCCGGCCGGAAGAGUACCACCAAAGGCUCCUCCUUUGCUCAUCAGGCCGCCCUUUAUACCAUCCGAUACGACUUCCACUAUUGGGGCGACGACCGA
rnacentral:lncRNA from 1 species